rnacentral:rRNA from 1 species
AGGGAAGAAACGGUGAGAGCUAAUAUCUUUGCUAAUGACGGUACCCUGAAGAAUAAGCACCGGCUAACUACGUGCCAGCAGCCGCGGUAAUACGUAGGGUGCAAGCGUUAAUCGGAAUUACUGGGCGUAAAGCGUGCGCAGGCGGUUUUGUAAGUCUGAUGUGAAGUCCCCGGGCUCAACCUGGGAAUUGCAUUGGAGGCUGCAAGGCUAGAAUCUGGCAGAGGGGGGUAGAAUUCCACGUGUAGCAGUGAAAUGCGUAGAUAUGUGGAGGAACACCGAUGGCGAAGGCAGCCCCCUGGGUCAAGAUUGACGCUCAUGCACGAAAGCGUGGGGAGCAAACAGGAUUAGAUACCCUGGUAGUCCACGCCCUAAACGAUGUCUACUAGUUGUCGGGUCUUAAUUGACUUGGUAACGCAGCUAACGCGUGAAGUAGACCGCCUGGGGAGUACGGUCGCAAGAUUAAAACUCAAAGGAAUUGACGGGGACCCGCACAAGCGGUGGAUGAUGUGGAUUAAUUCGAUGCAACGCGAAAAACCUUACCUACCCUUGACAUGGCUGGAAUCCCCGAGAGAUUGGGGAGUGCUCGAAAGAGAACCAGUACACAGGUGCUGCAUGGCUGUCGUCAGC